rnacentral:lncRNA from 1 species
AUUCACAUGGUACACAGACAAACAUGCAGACAAAAGAUUCAUGCACAUAAAAUCGUUCAAAGAUACAUAUGUCUGUGCUCUUAUGCACUAAUCGCUGUUCUUUUGUCUAGAUAAGAAAUUGCAAUUUGUAGUGGUUUCCUGCUGCAGUGUCCUUGAGCUGUGCUUCUGGGUCCAGUGGCAUUUGGAGUCACUUUUUUUUAACAUGUAAUCUUAUUUCUCCAUUCAGAGUUCUAAUGUAUUUCUGGUUUUCUAAAGUGUAAUAACUAUGAUACUUUAUAGGUUGUUUUAACUGCUACCCCAAAAUUGUACAUAUAAAUGGGGUAUUCUGUGAUUGUUGUUGACACAUGUACACAUUACAUAAUGUGUAAAGCCUGUGUCCAUCCUUUUAUUAUUUCUUUAUGGUAAAAGAAUUCAGAUUCCUUUCUUCUACCUCUUUGAAAUGUAGAACUUACUUUCCAUGCAGUAGCACAGGAGAGCCUCUGGUCCCAAACCCUGAUCAACCUUUCUCCAAUUUUCCUCCCACUUCUUUGAUGCCUGAGUACCAUCUCGUGAACUCGAUUAAGAUCAGCCUUUGGCUUUUCCGUGCAUGAAAUCCUUUAGUGCUUGUUUUUCUAUGCCUGGCUCAUUCAUGGAGUGGAUGGCAGUGGACUCUGGACGCGCUUGGCAGGCUCUGUUUGUUUCAGUGGCUGAUUAGCAUGUAGUCUAUGUGUGUGCCACGCUUUGAUAAGGAUAAGUUUUCCUGUUUCUUUCUUUUGGAUUGAAUUUUUUUCCAAUCUCUUCAGGAAAUCUUUUUUAUUCAAUACUCAGACCAGCUGUGUUUUUAUUCAUCCUUGAGGAUUUUGUCAGGUUGUUUUAUGACCUGCUACAAGCUGUUGAGUUAGCUAUCUUGUCUCUCUGGAGGAUGUUAAUGCUUGUGUGUUUUUAGUUUUUCCUGCUCUUUUGUACAGUUGUUCUUUUCUCAAAUGUUUGAGUAUUUGAGGGUUUCCUCUGUAUUUUAAGAAUAAGAUGGGUGGUGUCUCAUGCCUUUAAUCCUAGCACUAGGGAGGCUGAGAGAGGCAGGUGGAUCUCUUGAGUUCCAGGACAGCCAGAGAGAUAUACAGAGAAACCUAUAUUGAAAAAACU